rnacentral:lncRNA from 1 species
UGUAAUUCCAGAUCUGCUGGAGAAAGGCCAUCACAGAGCUCAUGAAGGAGGAGUGUUCCCCUCACAAAUUUAUUUCUCGUGGGGGUGGUAAGAGGUGUGUCCUCUCUCCUCUCCAGGGGUGGGUGAGUAGGUCUCAAAAGAUAAAUCCACUCUGACACUCCAACCUCCCCAAGCCUUUGAGUCCCAUCCUCUGCCACGCAGAGAGGCAGGCCUGGCAUUUCAGCCUCACUUUGUGUAGGUCACUUUUUGGUCUGUGUUGUAGCUCACCAACCAACCAGUCAAACCCCAGCAGUGGUAGCACGAGGUCCAGAACCUCUGCUUAGUGGGCCCGUAUCAAUAAACGCAACCUGACCCAAUUUUUUGUUCCUUUCCCCAUUAUCCCUACUGUAGGGUCUCCUGGUUCCCCCUGCUUUUUUUUUCUUUUCUUUUCUUUUUUUUUUUUUUUUGAGACAGAGUCUCGCUCUGUCGCCCAGGCUGGAGUGCAGUGGUGUAAUCUCAGCUCACUGCAACCUCCACCUCCCAGAUUCAAGUGAUUCUCAUCCCUCAGCCUCCCAAGUAGCUGGGAUUACAGGCAUGCGCCACCACACCCAGCUAAUUUUUGUAUUUUUAGUAGAGAUAGGGUUUCACCGUGUUGGCCAGGCUGGUCUUGAACUCCCGACCUCAGGUGAUCCACCCAUCUCAGCCUCCCAAAGUGCUGGGAUGACGGGCAUGAGCCACCACACCUGGCCUCCCCUGCUUUCUUUCUGUGUCCUGACCAAGAAUCACAAAGUGCAGCCAGGCAUGUGGCUCACGCCUGUAAUCCCAGCACUUUGGGGGACUGAGGCAGGAGGAUUGUUUGAGCCUAGGAAUUCAAGACCAGCCUGGGUGAGAUGGUAAGGCCCUAUCUCUAAUUUUUUAAAAAUUAAAUUAAAAAAUUCUAGGUUGUGGGCUAAAACACUGAAAGAAACUGGCCCAGCCCUGAGCCAAAUCCCUUAAACUUCCAUAUCCACUCCACACCGUGUCCCCUUGCUGCAGAGAUAUCAAGGGAGGGCACCUCUUCUCUCUCGCUUUUGUUGCAAGGAUACGCUGCGGCCUUCUGUAAGUCCCCCUAAUAAAUGCUCUGGAGUGCUCACCCUGGCGUUUAGCGUUCCUUAGUUCAGAUCCCAACUGGCCCCAUCUUGCAAUGCUUUGGGGCCAUCCUGUGCCCUUUGGGGCACUCCUGGCCACCGCUUUUGGGGCGAUGCCAGCUGUGGGUUCUGCAGGGUGAAACAUCCACCCUUAAAAUCCACUCCCACAUGCUCCCCGGAUUUCUGUGGGUAUAAAUUGGGAAAAUGGUGCAUUUCUUGUGGAGCCUUGUUCCGUGCCCUCCAGGGCCUGGGGCAGGCCCCAUGUGUGCUGAGCCUGUGCACAUGCUGUGCCCAUCACUGCUGAGCUAAGCCCUCCUGAGUCCCCCUCCCUGACCCCUGGAGCUUCCUCCACACAUCCUAGCAUCAUUACUCUGCUGCAGUUGCUCCCAGCCCUAUCAUCUUCUGACACUACCUCACUACCAGGUCUCCCCAGCUAUGCUGUGAGACCUUGAGCGCGGGGUCUCACCUAUCUCGUUCACAGCUGCACCCCCAGCCAUAUUUUUUUUUGCAAAUAUUUACUGAAAGGAUACUCAGUAAAUAUUUGCAAAAAAAGGUUUUUGGGGGGUUUUUUUUGGAGGCACAGUCUCUGUUGCCCAGGCUGGAAUGCAGUGGCAGGAUCUCAUGUCACUGCAACCUCUGCCUCCUGGGUUCAAGCCAUUCUCCCACCUCAGCCUCCCGAGUAGCCAGGAUUACAGGUGUGUGCCACCACGCCUGGCUAAUUUUCAUAUUUUUUAAGUAGAGACGGGGUUUCCUCAUGUUGGCCAGGCUGGUUUUGAACCCCUGACCUCAGGUGAUCCUCCUGCCUCGGCCUCCCGAAGUGCUAGGAUUACAGGCGUGAGCCACCAUGCCUGCCUUUUUUAACUAUAUAAAGGCCUGACACUCAUGUCCUGGCAUCUCUGAUGUUGUUAAUAAAGACAGCAGGGCCGGGGCAAGGUGGCUUACAUGUGUAAUCCUAGCAUUUUGGGAGGCCAAGGUGAGAGGAUCAUUUGAGUCCAGGAGUUCAAGACCAGCCUCGGCAACAUAGUGAGACCCCAUCUCUACAGAAAAAUGUAAAAAUUAUCCAGCAUGGUGGUGCCCACCUGUGGUCCCAGCUACUUGGGAGGCUGAGGUGGGAGAAUCACUUGAACCUGCGAGGUCAGUGCUGCAGUGAGCCACGCUGCACCACUGUACUCCAGCCUGGAUGUCAGAGCAAGACCCCACCCCAUCUCAAAACAAAAAAAAAGACAGUACAUCUGAAUGUUUCAUUUGUCUAUGGAUUUCCACCUGAUUACUCCAGAAAG